AGCCAUGUGUUGAGCACAAAGCAAACUAUUCUUUCGCCUUUUAUUAAAGACAAUAUGCUCAUUGUUAUAAGUGGCUUGCGUCUAUUUUUGGAGGGGCACACCUCUGUGGGUGCC